UACGGAGGGUGCGAGCGUUAAUCGGAAUUACUGGGCGUAAAGGGUGUGUAGGUGGUUGGUUAAGUUAUCUGUGAAAUUCCUGGGCUCAACCUGGGCGUGUCAGAUAAGACUGGUCGACUUGAGUAUGGGAGAGGGUAGUGGAAUUUCCGGUGUAGCGGUGAAAUGCGUAGAGAUCGGAAGGAACACCGGUGGCGAAGGCGGCUACCUGGCCUAAUACUGACACUGAGGCACGAAAGCGUGGGGAGCAAACAGG
rnacentral:rRNA from 1 species